UUCUCUCUGCCCCUCCGUCACAUCCCCUCCCCAUUCUCCUAGCCGCCACCCACCACCUCUUUUCCUACCUCCUCCCACAGAUCGCCGCCAGCCCUCCCCCUCCCCUCCUCUCACCUUGCAUCUUCGGCAACUGCCAGAUCCGCCGCACCCGCACCCAUCCAUCCCUCUGGCAACCUUUCUCUCUCUCGUGAAACCACUCACGCCGUGGCCAGCGCCCGCAGAUUCCGGUGACGUCCGCCACCGCGCACCACGCUCACGGGCUGGUCUACGGCCUGUCCAACCUCCGGUCCGUCUGGAUCCGCCACUCCAGGUCUUCGGCGCUCGCCCGCGAACCCAAUCAUGUGGAUAGGGUUUCGGCUGCGGCUUCGCAUCCAUCGUCGGUGCGUCUCCGGCGGCUCCUCUCCGUCGCACACCGCGCAACUUCGCGCCCUAUUCGCCUCGUGGAUGGUGCCCCCUAGCUCGAUGCGCUCGCAGCCAUUGGGCUGGACCGCGACGACCACCGUGUUAGAGGCAGAGCAGCGUGGUCACAAGGUCAAGGACCAGGGCAGCUGCGCUACAUGUGCAUGACGGCAGAUACGCAGGGUUAAGGCAAGUAGAGCUCUUCAAUACUUCUUUACCAUUAAGGAUCCUAGUGCAAGGCGAGCUUUGUUUGAGGUUUACAGAGUAUUUUGAUGUUCACUGAUGUUGUUAAAAACACCAGCAAGAAUAAUGCCUCACUUGUUGUUCUUGUUGAAGCUCUUGCUCUGAUCAUAUUUGUAUUUGAUGCUGCCUAUAACAUCCGCUUCGACAUGAUAGCUGAAAUCAAGAGGGUUGACGGAGACAAACUGAAUAAGAACUUGUAUGUUUUGUUGACGCAAAUUGGAUUGUGCUGGUUCCUGACCUUGCCAUGUUUUGUAUUUUGUCAAUUGAUGUUGUAAUUUAUCAUUUCAUGGAGGAUGCUGUAAACUGCUAUGUUGUAUAUACUUGCGGCUAUAGCUCCAUUAAUACUACACGUCUAUGCAUUGUA